rnacentral:rRNA from 1 species
GAUGAACGCUGGCGGCGUGCCUAAUACAUGCAAGUCGAGCGAACAGACGAGGAGCUUGCUCCUCUGACGUUAGCGGCGGACGGGUGAGUAACACGUGGAUAACCUACCUAUAAGACUGGGAUAACUUCGGGAAACCGGAGCUAAUACCGGAUAAUAUAUUGAACCGCAUGGUUCAAUAGUGAAAGACGGUUUUGCUGUUACUUAUAGAUGGAUCCGCGCCGCAUUAGCUAGUUGUUAAGGUAACGGCUUACCAAGGCAACGAUGCGUAGCCGACCUGAGAGGGUGAUCGGCCACACUGGAACUGAGACACGGUCCAGACUCCUACGGGAGGCAGCAGUAGGGAAUCUUCCGCAAUGGGCGAAAGCCUGACGGAGCAACGCCGCGUGAGUGAUGAAGGUCUUCGGAUCGUAAAACUCUGUUAUUAGGGAAGAACAAAUGUGUAAGUAACUAUGCACGUCUUGACGGUACCUAAUCAGAAAGCCACGGCUAACUACGUG